GAGGGCGUGGCGCAAUGGUAGCGCAUCUGAUUCCAGUCCAGAAGGCUGUCCGUUCGAGUCGGGCCGUCCUCC
rfam:Colletotrichum orbiculare MAFF 240422 contig03719, whole genome shotgun sequence.